UAUCUGGUUGAUCCUGCCAGUAGUCAUAUGCUUGUCUCAAAGAUUAAGCCAUGCAUGUCUAAGUAUAAGCACUUGUACUGUGAAACUGCGAAUGGCUCAUUAAAUCAGUUAUCGUUUAUUUGAUUGUACCUUUACCACUUGGAUAACCGUGGUAAUUCUAGAGCUAAUACAUGCGAAAAGUCCCGACUUCUGGAAGGGAUGUAUUUAUUAGAUUCAAAACCAAUGCGGGUUCUGCCCGGUCAUUUGGUGAUUCAUAGUAACUGUUCGAAUCGCAGGGCCUCGCGCCGGCGAUGUUUCAUUCAAAUUUCUGCCCUAUCAACUGUCGAUGGUAAGGUGUUGGCUUACCAUGGUUACAACGGGUGACGGAGAAUUAGGGUUCGAUUCCGGAGAGGGAGCCUGAGAAACGGCUACCACAUCCAAGGAAGGCAGCAGGCGCGCAAAUUACCCAAUCCUGACUCAGGGAGGUAGUGACAAGAAAUAACAAUACAGGGCUUUUCUAAGUCUG
rnacentral:ncRNA from 1 species